UACGAAGGGGGCUAGCGUUGCUCGGAAUCACUGGGCGUAAAGCGCGCGUAGGCGGAUUGCUAAGUCAGGGGUGAAAUCCUGGAGCUCAACUCCAGAACUGCCUUUGAUACUGGCGAUCUCGAGUCCGGGAGAGGUGAGUGGAACUGCGAGUGUAGAGGUGAAAUUCGUAGAUAUUCGCAAGAACACCAGUGGCGAAGGCGGGUCUCUGGACAGUUCCUGACACUGAGACACGAAGGCCAGGGGAGCAAACGGG
rnacentral:rRNA from 1 species